rnacentral:rRNA from 1 species
AUAUUGUACCAUGGGGGCAACCCUGCUCCAGCCAUGCCGCGUGUGUGAAGAAGGUCAUCGCAUUGUAAAGCACGUUACGUUGGGAGGAAGGGCUUUAGGUUAAUACCCUGAAGUUUUGACGUUACCAACAGAAUAAGCACCGGCCAACUCUGUGCCAGCAGCCGCGGUAAUACAGAGGGUGCAAGCGUUAAUCGGAAUUACUGGGCGUAAAGCGCGCGUAGGUGGUUCAGUAAGAUGGGUGUGAAAUCCCCGGGCUUAACCUGGGAACUGCUUUCAUAACUGCUGAGCUAGAGUACGGUAGAGGGUAGUGGAAUUUCCUGUGUAGCGGUGAAAUGCGUAGAUAUAGGAAGGAACACCAGUGGCGAAGGCGACUACCUGGACUGAUACUGACACUGAGGUGCGAAAGCGUGGGGAGCAAAC